rnacentral:rRNA from 1 species
GUCAUAUGCUUGUCUCAAAGAUUAAGCCAUGCAUGUCUCAGUACAAGCCAAAUUAAGGUGAAACCGCGAAAGGCUCAUUAAAUCAGUUAUGGUUCCUUAGAUCGUACCCACAAUUACUUGGAUAACUGUGGUAAUUCUAGAGCUAAUACAUGCAAACAGAGCUCCGACCGGAGACGGGAGGAGUGCUUUUAUUAGAUCAAAACCAAUCGGUGGCGGGUUCGCGCUCGUCAUCGUACAACUUGGUGACUCUGAAUAACUUUACGCUGAUCGCACGGUCAUCGCACCGGCGACGCAUCUUUCAAAUGUCUGCCUUAUCAACUGUCGAUGGUAGGUUCUGCGCCUACCAUGGUUGUAACGGGUAACGGGGAAUCAGGGUUCGAUUCCGGAGAGGGAGCCUGAGAAACGGCUACCACAUCCAAGGAAGGCAGCAGGCGCGCAAAUUACCCACUCCCGGCACGGGGAGGUAGUGACGAAAAAUAACGAUACGGGACUCAUCCGAGGCCCCGUAAUCGGAAUGAGUACACUCUAAACCCUUUAACGAGGAUCAAUUGGAGGGCAAGUCUGGUGCCAGCAGCCGCGGUAAUUCCAGCUCCAAUAGCGUAUAUUAAAGUUGUUGCGGUUAAAAAGCUCGUAGUCGAAUUUGUGUCUCGCGCCGCCGGUUCAUCGUCCGCGGUGUUAACUGGCGAGUCGCGAGACGUCCUGCCGGUGGGCUUAGCUCGCGAGGGCGAUGCCCAACUCAAUCCUGCCGCGGUGCUCUUCAUUGAGUGUCGAGGUGGGCCGGCACGUUUACUUUGAACAAAUUAGAGUGCUUAAAGCAGGCUAAAACUUCGCCUGAAUACUGUGUGCAUGGAAUAAUGGAAUAGGACCUCGGUUCUAUUUUGUUGGUUUUCGGAACCCCGAGGUAAUGAUUAAUAGGAACGGAUGGGGGCAUUCGUAUUGCGACGUUAGAGGUGAAAUUCUUGGAUCGUCGC